UUUAGCACGUCCAGCGUUGUGCACCCGCCACGUCUAUCUGGUUCCGGAACAUUCUCCCCACCCCGAAAUAAAGCCCUGGGCCCGUGAGCAGUCACUGGUCACUGGCCUCCUGCUCCGGGCCCCGGCAGCCACCAACCUGCCUGUCUCUGCCCUUACCCAUCCCACACAGGCCACGGAAUGGACUCUGCAGCAUGUGACCUUUGACCUUCUGGCGUUUGAGCCUGCCAGCGUCCGACAAACAGACCCGUCUCCACACGGUUAUGGCGGCUCAAGUCCGAGUCAGGCUGAGUCACCCCUCCAGGCCCUCCGCUAAGGCCUUCCGCGGGACCAGUCCGGGCUUCAUUGGGGAGCUGCUGAAGGAACACUGGAGGGCAGAGAUGGACAGGACCGAGUCCUUGCUUUGGAGACGGAUGCGGUGCAGAAGCCAGAGGGGGUGCGGGUUUAAAUCCUCGAG